UACUGGCGGCGUGCCUAUACAUGCAAGUCGAACGCACAGCGAAAGGUGCUUGCACCUUUCAAGUGAGUGGCGAACGGGUGAGUAACACGUGGACAACCUGCCUCAAGGCUGGGGAUAACAUUUGGAAACAGAUGCUAAUACCGAAUAAAACUUAGUGUCGCAUGACACAAAGUUAAAAGGCGCUUCGGCGUCACCUAGAGAUGGAUCCGCGGUGCAUUAGUUAGUUGGUGGGGUAAAGGCCUACCAAGACAAUGAUGCAUAGCCGAGUUGAGAGACUGAUCGGCCACAUUGGGACUGAGACACGGCCCAAACUCCUACGGGAGGCUGCAGUAGGGAAUCUUCCACAAUGGGCGAAAGCCUGAUGGAGCAACGCCGCGUGUGUGAUGAAGGCUUUCGGGUCGUAAAGCACUGUUGUAUGGGAAGAACAGCUAGAAUAGGAAAUGAUUUUAGUUUGACGGUACCAUACCAGAAAGGGACGGCUAAAUACGUGCCAGCAGCCGCGGUAAUACGUAUGUCCCGAGCGUUAUCCGGAUUUAUUGGGCGUAAAGCGAGCGCAGACGGUUUAUUAAGUCUGAUGUGAAAGCCCGGAGCUCAACUCCGGAAUGGCAUUGGAAACUGGUUAACUUGAGUGCAGUAGAGGUAAGUGGAACUCCAUGUGUAGCGGUGGAAUGCGUAGAUAUAUGGAAGAACACCAGUGGCGAAGGCGGCUUACUGGACUGCAACUGACGUUGAGGCUCGAAAGUGUGGGUAGCAAACAGGAUUAGAUACCCUGGUAGUCCACACCGUAAACGAUGAACACUAGGUGUUAGGAGGUUUCCGCCUCUUAGUGCCGAAGCUAACGCAUUAAGUGUUCCGCCUGGGGAGUACGACCGCAGGUUGAACUCAAAGGAAUUGACGGGGACCCGCACAAGCGGUGGAGCAUGUGGUUUAAUUCGAAGCACGCGAAAACUUACCAGGUCUUGACAUCCUUGAGCUUUUAAAGAUAGAGUGUUCUCUCGAACAAAUGACAGGGGUGCAUGGUCUCCUCACUCGUGUCGGAAUGUUGGUUAGUCCCCACGAGCCACCUUAUGUAGUGCAGCUUCAAUGGCCUCUAGGAACUGCGGGAAACCGAGAGGCGGGCACUC
rnacentral:rRNA from 1 species